CCACUACUCACCCACGUGACCUCAUUCCUUCAGGAUGCUGGCGGAGAGGGGAAAAGGAGGGGGAGGCUGGCACUGCCGCUCCCCGCCACCGGGUGCCGUGUCCCCAGCCUGGACGAGACCCCUCCCUUCCUACGCGGCCGCCCCGACCCCGGAGGAUGGGUUCUCUUGUUACCUUCCGCACUUAGCCCCUCCCCUCAAAAUAUGCGUUCCCCUCACUGACCCUGUGAUGCCCACCCCUAGCCGGGGCUCCUGGAAAACGGUGAAAUGGGGACUGGGCUGAAAGGUGGCCCGCGGGCCUCGACGCCUGGCCUAGACCAAAGAGCGCGGGGCUCCCGCGGGGGACGCAACGCCUUCAGCCACGCGUCCGGGAGAUUUUCAUUCACUCCAAGUGACACUCCCUUAAAAUUAAUAACUGCAUCUGGGAGGGCGAGCGUGUCCUCCCUGCUCCCCUUGCCCCCUCGGCCACACGGGCGCUGACCCUGAAGAGCGGCGCACAGGGAUCCAGCCUGGGCCCCUGGCAGGGAGAAAUCGCGAGAGGGGAGUGGAGGUGCGGGGUGAGGCCGGGGUGGGGGGCGCCUCGCCGCGGGGGGCUGUGGAGGCGGCUGCGCCUAGGCGUGCUCGGGCGGAGAAGAAAGGAGGCUCGCUGAGGACGGGAACUCAGGCUCCCGGCCUGGGACACAAUAACCUGGCCGACGGCGAGAGGCCACACUGGUCUAGGAAACGAGGCGCCAAGCUGGAAGGUGGGCCCGCGCCUUUUCUCCGGCCUGGCGCGGAUUUCGUAUUUUUCGCUCGCGCCCUGCGCUGCGCGCUGCCUGUGCACCUCCCUCGGCGCGCGGGCGGGAGUCGGGCGAGCGCCAAGACGGCGGGGCCCGCUGACUCCCACCGGCGCCCCGGCUCCACCCGCCGCUCGGGCUCCGGUCCCCACUGUCUCCGACCGGAGGGAGAGAAUGAGGAGGGAGGCUUGGAAAUGCCGGGAGGAGCCGUGAGGCCGGCGCCGGGAAGCGAAUCGAUACCGCAUUACUGGACGCCCGUGGGCCUCAUGAGGACGGUCGAAUCGCUCAUUCGUUAUUCACGAUUUAUUAGGGAUGGCGGCCGCGUCUGUCCCUCCAGAAAGCUCAAUUAUCCAUCUGGCCAGCAGCGCCAUGAAGCGCACUGACGGUGGGAGGCUCGAGUUAGAAAUUAGGAAAGGAAUCUUCGCCCGGUUUUGGAGCGCCUGUCUCCUCUUCUCUCGUUGCUCGCAGCCAAGGCAGCCCCGGAGCUGGGGGCCCCGGUGAAUGUUUUCGCCCUCUGGCCGGCGACCAGGAGACCUGCGCACAUUAGCCACCGAGUGACCCUAGCUUGAGCCUGCAGCCACAUCGGCGGGAUGGGGGCGGGGAGGAAGAGGAAGGGCGGAGAGAUUUCCUUCUAGAGGGAGUGGUUGGAGAACCGGCGGGAGAAGGGCCAAGGGAAGAUCCGGUCACCUGCUCGCGAGUCUGCACCCGGAAAGGCGAGUUCACCGGCCCUGGAGGAAAGGGGACACGCCCACUGUUCCCAGGGCAAAUGUGUCGCCGGCAUCCUGGACUCUGCCAGGGAAGACGCACAUCCACUACGCUCUGCCGGGAGGGGAGCGCGGCAGGGACUCCCGGUCGGCUGCCCCUUUCUGGCUGCAAGACCCGGAGCAAGAGAAACCUGUAGGGGCUUUGCGGAGACCUGAAUCCCACCCACCAACCACACGGGCACCUACGGGCUGCCCCUCGGGGCAGUAUCAGCCAGUGGGAAGGGGGCUGACGUUCCUCUGCGGCCCAUGAAUCCUGGUGACUGCCCGAGGGGCCGCCGGAGUCCAUCCACUUAUUCCUCGGUUGUUAAGCGCCCGGCAGGAGCAAACCGCUAGAAAGGAGUAUGCUAAGACCCCAUUACCCACUAACACUCCAGUUUCAUCUUUUGCGUCCUGGAUGACCAGUCCCCAUAUUCCUGGCCUUUCUGGUUUCUCAGGGGAACCUUCUGACCCAACUCUUCCCAGAUUGGAAGAGUUUCCUAGUCUUUGUUCUAUACUGGCCGACAGAGAAGCACCUGUCACGUGCCAAUGUCAAAUACUGCGCUAGGCACUGGGCAUUCAAGGCACAGGAGCCUGGCUUUUGCGCGGGGCGCUCACAGGCCGGUGGGUGCAAACCCUGAGGGACACACAGCCUGUCCCUUUAGCGACCACCACUUCUGUUGUGAGCUCCCGCUAAGGGUGGGUGAGUACUAGGGAGGGCUUCCAGAAGAGGCCUCCUUUGAGCCGAAUCUGCAGAGACCAAGUGUCUACGAGAACUGCUUAAGAGUGCUUUGCACAUUCUCAUCUACAAAGGUCGAGGCUCCCACUGCGCCCAGGAAUACGCCUCGGCAGACAUUAGGCGCCUCUUGAUUUUGUGUUUGCAUCUCACCUGGUCCUCUAGCUGACAAUGGCAUCAGAAGAGUCAGUGUCUGUCACAGACGACUAGGGGCUCGCAGAGGAUAGGAACGCGGGAAAUCUAGGCAGUUACUUCCAGCACAUACGAAGAGCUAUUGCGAGGAUUAGAUCCCUUUAAAAACGGUGACGGUGACGAGGCGGGAGAGGGCGGCUCCUCUCGUGCUUUCAGGAACGUCUUUACCUCUGUGUUCCUUACACCUUUUAUCUCCCCCAAACAAGGUCCUUGGUCUGUUUUUGCUUCUAUUUUUCCAUUCUCCUCCCCACCUCUCUGUGUAUUUCCAGGGGAAAAAAAUUGUGUUGCUUUAAUUCUGAUGCUUCUCAUAUUAAAUGCGUCUCUUUUCCCUCUC